rnacentral:lncRNA from 10 species
GUAGGGAUGAAUCUCAGACUUGCUGUGUUCGGAAUUAUCUUCCUCAUCCCAUGACACAGACUUUUUUACUGAGUCAACCUAAUCUUUCCUGGAUCAUUCCUCUCUCGGGACCAGUCCUCUUCCAGAAAAUUUCUCAGUCUUUAUGCAGACAAGAUUCUGGGGGCUGACACUGCUUUUUUUGCCAGAUGUCCCUAGACACAUCUGAAUCUCUUUUAGUCUCAAGCUGGAGCCUUUUUCACCAUUGCACAAAAAGCUGGGUAUAGUUCAAAUUCCUGACUGUAUAUUCUGAUUCCCCUGGGCAUUUACACUCUGCCAUCCCACACAGUUCCCCCUCCUGUGUGAGGGUCCUAUUGCAAUUCAUUAGCGUGCUUUUUUUUUUUUUUUUUUUUUUUUUUUUGCUUUUUGUUUUGGAGACGGAGUCUUGCUCUGUCCCUCAGGCUGGAGUGCAGCGGCGCCAUCUCAGCUGAAUGCAACCUCUGCCUCCUGGGUUCAAGAGAUUCUCCUGCCUCAGCCUCCCAAGUAGCUGGGAUUACAGGUGCGUGCCACCACGCCUGGCUAAUUUUUUGUAUUUUUAGUAGAGACAGGGUUUCACCGUGUUAGCCAGGAUGACCUUGAUCUUCUGACCUCGUGAUCCUCCCACCUCAGCCUCCCAAAGUGCUGGGAUUACAGGCGUGAGCCACAGCGCCCGGCCUUCAGCGUGCUUUUUUUUUUAAUGGUUUGCUAUAUUUACAUCUGGUUUCUCCUUCUGAAUGAGAAGGAUGGAGCAAAUGCCCCAGAUGAAGCCUACACGACAUGAGUCAGAGAACUUUGGCCAGGAUGUCUGGGGAAAAAGUUUCCUCUUUCUUCUCUGGGAACUAUCUGGAGAGGGUUGUUUUAACGCUGGAUGUGAACAGCGACUCGUGUAGCCCCAGAAGCCUCUGACAGCCGCGUUGGAAUCAUAAGUUCUCAAAAUGAAGUAUUUUCCAGAGAGAAGUACUGAGAAGCUUAAAGUAUUUGAAUGGGAGGAGGAGAAGCAAACUACAGCUACUUCAGAGGAUAACACUAAACACCUAGUCCACUCUGUAUACACUAGAGGUGCUGUUAAUUUUCUUGUGGAGAAGGAACUGUCUUUAGAAAAAUAUCUCAAAAAGCCACUGAAGUAGAAAGUUUCAGCAUGCUGAAGAUGGAACUUGAGAAGAUAGAAAGUUCUGGGUCCUUAGUGGCAUGACUGAGUCGCUGGACCACUGUUGGAACCACCCUAUGUCUUAGUUUUUAAAUCUCUUUACUGUCUAAGACAUUUUUAGUGGAAGUAUUUAUCUCUGGCAUCCAAUAAGACCUUUAAGGAUUUGCAGUUUUAUCUAUGUGUUUGUUUAUUGUCUGCUCCACCCUACUUGAUUGUGAUCACCAUGACAUCAAUGACUGUGCAUCUUUUGUUCACUCAGGAAUAUCCAGUGCCUGCCACGCAGAGUGUGCUGCAUGUACAUGCUCACUUGAUAUCUGUUGUAGCAAAGAGUGAAAGAGAGAAGGAAUAAAUGCUUUCUCCCAUGAUGAGGGGACAUGGGGUCCAGACAAGCUGGACCAUUAUCCCAGGCCCAGCGCUCUGCUUUAUUUUUUUUUUUCCAGUACAGCAUCACAUUCAGUUACAACAGAGUGAAAUCUCCUAAGAACACGGCUGAUUAUUUCUUGAUUGCAAAAAGGACUCACUAACCCUCCGAUCUCCUGUAACGCAAGUCAAUGCUCUUCUAAUCUCCUUUUAGACAGCACCUGUACUUGUCAGUCAACGCAUGGUAGUCUGGGCUAGCCAAGUGAAUCCUUAACUAAACUGAAGUGGUGCUGAUCAUUCAGCCUUCAGAAUUGAAAAAAUCACAGCAUUGCUGAAGGAAAAGGCAUUUUUCAGGUAGAGAGGCAUAAGUCUUGGGCCAGGAAGCUUCAGUAAGAAGACAAUAAUUUCAUAGAAAUGCAUUAGCUUGGGGAGUCCAACUGCUGUUCUUGCACCUAAGAAAUUCAGAGGAGAGCUCUUUGCUUCCUUGCUCAUUCCAGUGGUUAGGAGUCAGGCCUUGUCCCAGAAUGUUCAGGUUGAUGCUUACCAUUUAAGCCUUAAGUUAAUCCGUUGAAGCUCCAGGCCUUUUAUGGGAUUCACAAGAAUAAACAGCAUUUAACUAUAGAUUCUCAAAGGUCAAAUCUUCAACCUAAAUCUGAGGAUUCAAAGCAUUGUUCACUCUAAUAAUUCUGCUAGUUCCCAACUUCACACAAACCAUUUAUUUCAGAAUGUAAACCUUGAAUAAUCUUUUCUUACUUGUAGUUUUGUGGUCAUUUAGAAAACAGCAAUACUCUAUUUUAAUUGGAACUAAGUGACAAAAAUAAGCCACUUCAUUAGUUUUCUAGAUAACGGUAAAAUGUAAGAACAAAAAGCCACUUCUUUUUCCACGUGGUAUUUUACAGUGACUUUUUUUUUUCUUUUUACUGCAUUUUAAAAUUCUACUGGAGGCAUUUCUCGGAAACUUUCUCUUACUUGUUAAUGAAUCAUCCCCUUUGAGAAUCAGCAGGUGAUUUCAGGAGCCCAGGUGUGAAUAAUUGAUUUAAGGUCGACCUUGUGGGUGGAGCCAAUGUUUACCAAGUGCAUUCAUUCGACAAACAAUUGAUGAACACCAAAUUAGAGUUCAAUUCCAGAUAACAAAAACCAGUUGAACUAAUUUCAUCAGAAAGCUACUUAAUAGGGGUAAUUAGGUGCUUACAAAAUAGAAGGGCUGGAAGCCCAGGAUCUAGGCUGACACCCAUGUAGCUAGACCCUGGAAACUGGGAUUCCAGCUGCACAGAACAGCCAAGUGUGUUCAUGACUGUGCUUGUUUGUCAGCAGGAGCAUGGCCCUGCCUUGUGAUACUGUGUUUUUCAGCUCUCACGUGGCUGAGUCUGUUUGGAGAAGUUGGUUCAAGAUGCAGCUUGACUCUCAGGGAGUCUGAAUAACUACCCUUAAUAUUGUUAGCUUUCUGGUCUCCAGCACACAGUAUGAUUUUCUGGAAGAAGGAUUUAAUGUAGUUAAAUAUGCCAACGUGUAAUAUCUGAUGUACAUUUCUACCCUGCUUGGGAUACAAAAUAAAUAAAAGCCAGUUUCUGUCUGUAAGGAGUGUACAGUUUAGUAAGAAGACAGACUCCUGAACAAAGAUGUAUACUUCAAUGUUGCCAGCCCAGGAUUAGAGAUGGGUAUUAAGAGGACCUCUGAUGAGUGAUAUUUUGCAUCUGGUGCAGGACAGUUCCCUAGGUGGCCUUGGACCAAACCAGUCCUCCCGCUUUCUCACUUGUAGUUUUAAGAAUAACUAGAAUGUGCUGGGAAUGCAACAUCCCGAGAUAAGGCCUAGGCUCUGUUCCAGUCCCCGCUAGAAACAGGAUGUCCUUCAGCACAUUAAUCCAGCAGGUCAUGUUAUCCCUGGAGUAGAAAACCCAGAGACGGCUACUUUCCAGGGUCCUGCAUCUGGGGUGCAAGUGAGGCACACGCAGAUGAGACUCCACCUGCCCUGGGCAGCUUUCCUGAGCCUUGAGAAACCAGCUCACCAUGAAUCCAAGGUGUCUGCUGUUCCUUGCCACCAUUUCAUGGAACCUGUUGUAUGUGUGAGUAUUCUCUCUUACCGGAGCAAGUAGUCAAAGUGCAGCCCAAGAUGCAGUGGGCUGAAGUAACCAGUGCAUAGUGAGCCUGCUUCUCACUGGGAUUUGAUUAAUCAUUUGAAAAUGCAUUAUUCUAAGUGCUUAACUUUAAAAGGGAAAAUAUUCUACUAUGAACGUGGACUCCCUAAAACAACAGAUUAAGGGAAGGCUGAAAGUGAUGACCCCUUUAAUUCCUGCUUUCCCAAGGAGACCCUCUGAUUCCCUGUGUGGUCCUUCCAUUUCCCCUUCAGGAGGCUGAAUGCCAUCGUGUCCACUUAUUUAGGCAAAGGAGAUGAAUGGGUUGCUUGGCUGCGGUUAGUCAUCAGGCCACUGGCAGAGUAGACUGGCACACGGAAAUCCUGAAGCUGAAUUCACUGUUACCUUUUGAGUCACUGUUACCCACCCACCCCAGACUUCCUCCCACCCCUAGUCUGAACCUGGAUCCUAUUCAAAGAUGUUUUCCCAUCUCUUUCCACUUACCUUCUGAAUUCAUUUUGGAGGAAUGUACCAAGAUCCUUUGAAUCCUCCAGGAAUGUUGAACUCAGUGAAAAGUGAUGUGGUUAAGAAAGCAAAUAAUAUGCUGAAAGAUGUUCAUUGGAAGUGGCUAGGGACAUCAAAGAAAUUGAUGAAUCUGCAUUUCAAAAAGCCAGCAGGGGGUAACAUUUCAGCUUACCUCAUAUUUCUCCUGCUUCUAAAUUGGCUAUUUACUGCCCAUGAAGUUUCUUCCUUCCCAUCAGGGCAGAAUACUAAUAUAGUUAGCCCCAGGAAAGAGAUGUCUGGAAAUGGUAUUGUCUUCUUAAAUCAAAGCAGCUGAAAGAAAUUUGUCUCUUUUAUUAACAAUGAAAUAUAGUUGCUAUCAAUGAGCAUCUACUGUAUUUCAGGCACUGUACUUAAACACUCUACAUGCAUUAUGCCAUUUAAUCCUCAAUCGUAUUGCUGAGAUCGAUAAUAUCAUUGACCCUAUUGUAUAGUUUGGGAAAAGGAGGGUAGCGAGAUUAGGAAAAUCGCCCAACUUGGCAACUGCUGGAGCAAGGAUUUGAGCUCUGUUGACCAUAUUGAUCACUAUAUGAUGUUGUCUCAUUGCCUUUAAACAACACUAGGGUUGGGUUAGGGUAGCAGAGGAUGUAUAUAAUAACACACACUGUUUAGUGAGAGUAAUUUUCCAGAACAAGCAAGAAAGGAGAAAUGCUUCAAUAAUCUUCUGAAGUUUAGUUUCCAUGGACAGUUAUGGAUUGCUAAGAAAUUGUCAAUAAAGGUAAGGGCCACGGAAGAAGCAGAAAUAAGCUGCACAGGCCAGGCACUGUGCCAUGUCAGUGGCAGAGCCACACCGUCACCUUCAUCAGAGCCCAAGGUCUGAAGACACUGAAAAGAAGAUCUGGCCACCAAAUGCCCUCAACAAGGGGUUGUCCAGACCCUGCUUCAACAUUGUCAGCAGCAGGGCAUGCUCCACCUCAGCAGACAGCCACUUUUGUUUUCAAGUAACUCUCUAAUUGCAAAAAAUGUACUUUGUAUUCAUCCAAAUCGGUGUCCAGGUAGCAUUCACAAGUAUUUGGGAGGCAGAGGCAGGAGGAUUCCUAGAGGACAGGAGUUCGUAUCCUCUGAAAACAUGUAGAAUAAAUCCAACUCCUUUCCCAUAUGAUAGUUCUUUGGAUAUUCAAAGCCCUUCCCCACACACCCAGCUGGCUUCUUAACCAUCCUUCAUACUGUGUGGAUUUGAACCAUUCUCCAUUGCAGUCUUUCUCCUUUAGGCACAUUAUAGUUUUGCGAAAAGUAUUUUGUUAGGUGAAGUACACAAAAUUAAAUAAGGCAUGUUUAGUGUCUUUAAGUAUCUCUUAAAGACAAUUGUAUGAGAUUAACUAUUGUCAAAAGCCCCCUUAAAAACUCUUCCGAGGUUCUGAGCAUGGGUGGGUCAUGUCUGUAAUCCCCACACUUCGGGAGGCCAAGGCAGGAGGAUCAUUUGAGGCCAGGAGUUUGAGACCAGCCUGGGCAAUAUAGUGAGACCCCAUCUCUACCAAUAAAUUAAUAAAAAUUAAAUUAAAAAACUACACCUAGAUAUAGACCAUUUGAAGAGUUCAGAGUGGAACUAUGAUGUCCCUACCUUGGACAGUAUACCUCCUUUAAGGAGACCUAAGUUUACAUUAGCAUUUGGAGUUGUGUUGAGUCAACUAAGCCUCUAAGUGUUUUUCACACUGACAGCUGCUAAGCCACAAACCAAGGGCAAUCACUACAGAGACAUGGAAUAAGAAAGAAUGAGUGUUUUCCAGGCUUUCUCUCCCAUUUAGUGAUUUGUGUUCGCACUACCUAUUCAUUCAUUACUUUACUUACUUGCUCAUCCCACAAACAUUUACUGAAUACUUAAGUCUGUCUAAUUAUGCAUAACAUACUUGGGUGGCCUGAAUGGGAAAGAAAUAUCAGACAUUACUUCCUGCCUUUAAAGAGACCUAUAAUUUAGCUAGGGAGGGAAAAAGAAAAAUAACUACAAAACGAAGUAACCUCUCAAAGCAUCACAUAAUGGAAAAAACACAGAAUUGAAUCUGGAACCUGGGUUAUAGAAAAGAGCUUUUUUUUUUUUUUUUUUUUUUGAGCUAGGAUCUUGUCUAUCACCCAGGUUGGAGUGCAAGAUCACAACUCUCUGUAGCCUUGACAUCCUGGGCUUAAGGCAAUCCUCCCACCUCAGCCUCUGGAGUAGCUAAGACUACAGGCACACACCAUCACAUCCAGCUAAUUUUUCUAGUUUUGGUAAAGAUGAGGUUUUACCAUGUUGCCCAGGCUAGUCUCAUACUCCUGUGUUCAAGCGAUCUGCCUGCCUGGGCCUCCCGAAGUGCUCUGAUUACAGGUGUGAGCCACUGUGUCUGACCUAGACAAGAGCACUGACUAAAGAUAAUCACAUUUACUCUCUAGAUCUCAGUUAUCUCAUUUAAAUAAUGAGACACCUGGACUUUUGGGGUUCUUUCUAUUUCUAAGGAUCUGUGCUUCCAAGUGCAAGAUAACUGUAAGCUUCUUGAGGGCAGGGAUCAUACUUCAUGUACAACUGAAUUUCCCAUUAAAUUUGUUACAGUUUUAACUCAUAAUAUCACACAAUACAUAUUUAUUGAAUGGUCUAAUGAAUUCAGAUUAAAUUGGCUUCAGCUUGGGAUACAAAAU